rnacentral:rRNA from 1 species
GUCCACGCCGUAAACGAUGGAUACUAGCUGUUGGAAGCAAUUUCAGUGGCUAAGCGAAAGUGAUAAGUAUCCCACCUGGGGAGUACGUUCGCAAGAAUGAAACUCAAAGGAAUUGACGGGGGCCCGCACAAGCGGUGGAGCAUGUGGUUUAAUUCGAUGAUACGCGAGGAACCUUACCAAGGCUUAAAUGUAGAUUGACAGGACUGGAAACAGUUUUUCUUCGGACAAUUUACAAGGUGCUGCAUGGUUGUCGU